rnacentral:rRNA from 1 species
CCUACGGGGGGCAGCAGUGAGGAAUAUUGGUCAAUGGCCGGAAGGCUGAACCAGCCAAGCCGCGUGAAGGACGAAGGUGCCACGCAUUGUAAACUUCUUUUGUCAAGGGACAAAAUCAGGCUCGUGUGCCUCACCGAGGGUACCUGAAGAAAAAGCAUCGGCUAACUCCGUGCCAGCAGCCGCGGUAAUACGGAGGAUGCGAGCGUUAUCCGGAUUUAUUGGGUUUAAAGGGUGCGUAGGCGGACUGGUAAGUCAGCGGUAAAAGUCCGGGGCUCAACCCCGGCGAGCCGUUGAAACUGGCGGUCUUGAGAGGGCGAGAGGUAUGCGGAAUGCGCGGUGUAGCGGUGAAAUGCUUAGAUAUUGCGCAGAACUCCGAUUGCGAAGGCAGCAUACCGGAGGGGAUCUGACGCUGAGGCACGAAAGCGUGGGUAUCGAACAGGAUUAGAUACCCGUGUAGUC